rnacentral:lncRNA from 10 species
AACUGGGGAAGGGACUCGUGUGCUAGGAGAUAAAUUACCUGCUGUAACUGCCCCAGGUGUGCCUGCCUGCCAGACACCCAAUCUUGCAAGGCCACCAUUAAAAGACUUGCUUCUGCUGUUCUUUGUGUCUCCGAGUCCAUUCUCUGGGUUUCAACGGAUGAAUGUGUUUCUCACAAACUUGGGGGCUCAUCUGGGAUCUAUGAGCCUGUGUGGAGUGGGACUCCAGUUGAGAAGGGAGAUGCCUCCCACCUGAUUUAGGUGGCCCUCUCUGUCCAGAUGUCCCGGCUCCCCACAGAGGCCAUAGACAAACCUGAGACUGUUAUUCAGAAGGCAGCAGAGACGACACAGGGAGAAAAGCAGGCACAGCAGCAACCAGGCAACCUCGUUCAUGAGCCAAGCACCAUGGAUGGAGCUGGAGGCCAUAAUCCUAACUGAAUUAAUGCUGGAAUGGAAAACCAAAUACUGCAUGUUCUCACUUAUAAGCGGGAGAUAAACACUGAGCACAUAUGGAUAUAAAUGUGGAAACAAUAGACUCUGGAGACUACUAGGGGACAGAAAGGGAAGAGGGUAUGGGUUGAAAGACUACCUAUUGGGUUCUAUGCUUACUACUUGAGUGCAAUAUAGUCAUGUAAAAAACCUG